AAAAGAAUCUUUCUGCUGUCGAAAAGAGUGAAAUAGUUCAAUGCCUUGGAUGAGGUAUGAAAUCAUUAGAUAUUUCAGGAAAGCUUAAGCGUGAUCACCGCACUAUUAAGAGAUUUGUGGCUAAUUCAGAGCACAGACGGGUUCGUGCAGAUAAAGGCAAAUUGAGGAAGAUUUCUGCCAGAUCCAUGCAUCGGAUCAAGAGAGCAGCUGCUAAAAUACCAUUACAUAGC